rnacentral:rRNA from 1 species
GACGAACGCUGGCGGCGUGCUUAACACAUGCAAGUCGAACGGAAAGGCCCUGCUUGCAGGGUACUCGAGUGGCGAACGGGUGAGUAACACGUGGGUGAUCUGCCCUGCACUUCGGGAUAAGCUUGGGAAACUGGGUCUAAUACCGGAUAGGAGCCAUCUUUAGUGUGGUGGUUGGAAAGUUUUUUCGGUGUAGGAUGAGCUCGCGGCCUAUCAGCUUGUUGGUGGGGUAAUGGCCUACCAAGGCGGCGACGGGUAGCCGGCCUGAGAGGGUGUACGGCCACAUUGGGACUGAGAUACGGCCCAGACUCCUACGGGAGGCAGCAGUGGGGAAUAUUGCACAAUGGGCGCAAGCCUGAUGCAGCGACGCCGCGUGGGGGAGGAAGGCCUUCGGGUUGUAAACUCCUUUCGCUAGGGACGAAGCUUUUUGUGACGGUACCUAGAUAAGAAGCACUGGCUAACUACGUG